UUAUUCGGUUUCUUUUUCCUUAUUCUGUUUCUUUUUCCUUAUUCGGUUUCUUUUUCCUUUUUCAAUAUUCAUUUCCUUUUUCGGUUUCUGUUUCCUUAUUAGGUUUCUCUUUCCUUUUUCGGUUUCUAUUUCCUUAUUUGGUUUCUAUUUCAUUAUUGGAAUUUCGUUUCCUUAUUCGAUUUUCAUUUCCUUAUACGAUUUUCAUUUCCUUAUUCGGUUUCUUUUUCCUUUUCCAAUAUUCAUUUUCUUUUUCGGUUUCUAUUUCCUUUUUCGAUUUUCAUUUCCUUAUUCAGUUUCCAUUUCCUUUUUC
rnacentral:lncRNA from 1 species